rnacentral:rRNA from 1 species
GACGAACGCUGGCGGCGUGCUUAACACAUGCAAGUCGAACGGGAUGAUUUAGAAGCUUGCUUUUAGAGAAUCUAGUGGCAAACGGGUGAGUAACACGUAGGCAACCUGCCGACAGGAUGGGGACAACAUUCCGAAAGGAAUGCUAAUACCGAAUGAAGCGCAGGAGAGGCAUCUCUCCUGCGUGAAAGAUGGCCUCUAUUUAUAAGCUAUCACCUGUCGAUGGGCCUGCGUCUGAUUAGCUGGUUGGUGAGGUAACGGCUCACCAAGGCGACGAUCAGUAGCCGGUCUGAGAGGAUGAACAGCCACAUUGGGACUGGGACACGGCCCAGACUCCUACGGGAGGCAGCAGUGGGGAAUCUUCCGCAAUGGGCGCAAGCCUGACGGAGCAACGCCGCGUGAGUGAAGAAGGUCUUCGGAUCGUAAAGCUCUGUUGAUGGGGACGAACGUGCGAAGGGUGAAUAAACCUUUGUAAUGACGGUACCUGUCGAGGAAGCCACGGCUAACUACGUG